GUCCAUGCCGUAACGAUGUCUACUAGCCGUUGGGCCUUUGAGGCUUUAGUGGCGCAGCUAACGCGAUAAGUAGACCGCCUGGGGAGUACGCACGCAAGUGUGAAACUCAAAGGAAUUGACGGGGCCCGCACAAGCGGUGGAGCAUGUGGUUUAAUUCGAUGAUACGCGAGGAACCUUACCAGGGCUUAAAUGUAGAUUGACAGGACUGGAAACAGUUUUUCUUCGGACAAUUUACAAGGUGCUGCAUGGUUGUCGU
rnacentral:rRNA from 1 species